rnacentral:other from 1 species
CUUACCCUGCAGUGUUCGAGAAUUAACGGAGUUCUGUCCUUUACUCUUUAGCAAACGGGAGCUAGCCCCCGGCGGUGGCUGUCCAGCCGUAAACCGGAAGACAAAAACACGUCGGGAAAGCACCCACCUUAGACGCAAAAGGCCAAGGACUCCCCACAUACGGCACAUGCGGGGCCUUU